GAAUUUGGGAUGGGGAACACAGUUCAGUUCAUGGCAGGGUUUAAAAUGGAAAAGUGGUCAACUAUGUCAAAUGCUGCUGAGAAGUUACUUCAGAAAAUACUGGAAAGUGCCCACUGGAUUGUACAAUGCAGAUUACGCAUUUGAUCAACAUUCUUCACCAACUCAAGCCAUGUCCUACCCAGUUAUCUACCAUUUUGGACACAAAGAGAGAAGACGUAACUAAGAGGAAGAAAUGAAGAAGCACUUAGAAAUUGGAAAGCAGAAAUAGUUGCUCUAAGAUCUGCUGAACCUCCCUGAUUCUCUCAUCUUAAGUAUUUACAAAGGAGUUUAUGAGCUCAAGCAGACUCUACCUCAGCGUGCUCAUCUAUAAAAUGGGGGGGAUGGGCAAUAUGAGUGUAUUAGCUUCCUCCAGGGAAGUCAUGCUGUUUGACAACCUGUAGGAUAAUUUUAUAGUUUCAAUAUAUAGCCAAGGAGCAAAGAAUCUAAAUUUCUGCUGAAUCCCUGGAUGACAACAGGAGGCAUCGUGUGCACGAAUGGAUCUCAUUCACUCCACGUCCUUCUUUGCCAGAAAUAGAAGAAAAACUUGCCUUAAGGAUAGCUGUUUUUAUUGGGUAUUGUCUGCUGUGAAUAAGGAAGUUUGUAAGAGUCUUAUGAGGACAAUGCAACAUGUGAUACAUUCAUCUUAACUUCCCAAUGCGAGGAGACACAAAGCAUAUGUAGGCAUUUCCC
rnacentral:lncRNA from 12 species